AGGACGAACGCUGGCGGCGUGCUUAACACAUGCAAGUCGAGCGGUAAGGCCUUUCGGGGUACACGAGCGGCGAACGGGUGAGUAACACGUGGGUGAUCUGCCCUGCACUUCGGGAUAAGCCUGGGAAACUGGGUCUAAUACCGGAUAUGACCUCCUAUCGCGUGGUGGGUGGUGGAAAGAUUUAUCGGUGCAGGAUGGGCCCGCGGCCUAUCAGCUUGUUGGUGGGGUAAUGGCCUACCAAGGCGACGACGGGUAGCCGACCUGAGAGGGUGACCGGCCACACUGGGACUGAGACACGGCCCAGACUCCUACGGGAGGCAGCAGUGGGGAAUAUUGCACAAUGGGCGAAAGCCUGAUGCAGCGACGCCGCGUGAGGAUGACGGCUUCGGGUUGUAACUCUUCAGCGGGACGAAGCGCAAGUGACGGUACCUGCAGAAGAAAGCACCGCUAACUACGUGCCGAGCAGCCGAC
rnacentral:rRNA from 1 species